rnacentral:rRNA from 1 species
UACGGAGGGUGCAAACGUUGCUCGGAAUCAUUGGGCGUAAAGCGCACGUAGGCGGUCUGAUAAGUCGGGUGUGAAAGCCCUGGGCUUAACCCAGGAAGUGCAUUCGAAACUGUCAGACUUGAAUACUGGAGAGGGUCGCGGAAUUCCCGGUGUAGAGGUGAAAUUCGUAGAUAUCGGGAGGAACACCAGUGGCGAAGGCGGCGACCUGGACAGAUAUUGACGCUGAGGUGCGAAAGCGUGGGGAGCAAACAGG